AUUGGAUUCGGUGAUAUGGUGCCGAAAACUUACAUGGGCAUGCUGGUUGGUAGUUUGUGCGCUUUGACCGGUGUGCUUACGAUUGCCCUUCCAGUGCCGGUUAUUGUUAGCAAU
rfam:Trichinella papuae scaffold32s, whole genome shotgun sequence.